rnacentral:misc_RNA from 1 species
GAUGAAGAACGUAGCGAAAUGCGAUAAGUAAUGUGAAUUGCAGAAUCCAGUGAAUCAUCGAAUCUUUGAACGCACAUUGCGCCCGCCAACAUUCUGGCGGGCAUGCCUGUUCGAGCGUCAUUUCAACCCUCGACCUCCCUUUGGGGAAGUCGGCGUUGGGGACCGGCAGCACACCGCCGGCCCUGAAAUGGAGUGGCGGCCCGUCCGCGGCGACCUCUGCGUAGUAAACCAACUCGCACCGGAACCCCGACGUGGCCACGCCGUAAAACACCCAACUUCUGAACGUUGACCUCGAAUCAGGUAGGACUACCCGCUGAACUUAAGCAUAUCAAUAAGCGGAGGA